UGGGGAAUAUUGGACAAUGGGCGCAAGCCUGAUCCAGCCAUGCCGCGUGAGUGAUGAAGGCCCUAGGGUUGUAAAGCUCUUUCACCGGUGAAGAUAAUGACGGUAACCGGAGAAGAAGCCCCGGCUAACUUCGUGCCAGCAGCCGCGGUAAUACGAAGGGGGCUAGCGUUGUUCGGAUUUACUGGGCGUAAAGCGCACGUAGGCGGACUAUUAAGUCAGGGGUGAAAUCCCGGGGCUCAACCCCGGAACUGCCUUUGAUACUGGUAGUCUUGAGUUCGAGAGAGGUGAGUGGAAUUCCGGGUGUAGAGGUGAAAUGCGCAGAUAUUAGGAGGAAUACCGGUGGCGAAGGCGACUUUCUGGCCAUAAUCUGACGCUGAGGUACGAAAGCGUGGGUAGCAAACAGG
rnacentral:rRNA from 1 species